AUGGAGCUCCUCUUCUUUUGCACAAUAGUUCUCAUCCUCAUGGUCUCCUCUGUGUACCUCCUAGGCCUCUUAACCCACAGUGGUCGGAACCUACCCCCGGGUCCUCGCUCGCUGCCACUCGUGGGCAACCUCCUCUCACUGGGCGCCCUACCACACCGCUCCCUCGCGGGCCUCGCGGAGCGCCAUGGCCCUAUCAUGGCGCUCCGCCUAGGCACGGUCACGACCGUGGUCGCCUCCUCAGCAGAGGCCGCCCGUGACAUCCUCCAGCGCCAUGACGCCGCUUUCUCGGGGCGCUUCGUCCUCGAUGGCACCCACGUGUCCGCGCACUACACACACUCCAUGGUCUGGCUCCCGGCUAGCAGCCCCCGGUGGCGCGCGCUACGCAAGGUGUGCUCGGGUGAGCUCUUCGCGCCACACCGCCUCGACAUGCACCAGUCCCUGCGCCAGGAGAAGGUGCACCAACUCGUCUCCCACGUGACGCAGCUGGCACGAGAGGGCGUCCCGGUUCACGUCGGCCACCUGGCCUUUACGACAGCGCUUAACCUACUCUCCUCCACCAUCUUCUCCACCGACUUGGCCGACCUCGACGACCGCCAUGUCAAGCUUGGGGAGUUCAAGGCCGUGCUCGCAGAGCUAAACGUGACCGUUGGAUUACCAAAUCUGUCAGACUUCAUCCCUGAAGUGGCGUGGCUAGACCUGCAGGGAGUGAGGAGACGUAUCGAGGGCUUGUUUCAGCGGUUGCAUGCCAUGAUGGACGAACACAUCGAGCUUCACAUGCGGAACCGUGCCGCGGGUGAGCCAACAAAGAAAAACUUCCUAGACGUGCUGCUCGACUACCGCAACACCGACGACGACCAGGGCUUCGAGCGCCAGACGCUCCUCUCAUUGCUUUCGGACUUGUUCAGCGCGGGGACGGAUACAAGUUCGGCCACUGUGGAAUGGGCAAUGGCUGAGCUGCUACUGAAUCCAUCAUCCAUGUCGAGAGCUCGUCAAGAGCUCGACCAAGUGAUCGGCUCUAAAGAGCAGGUUGAGGAGUCCGACAUUGGACAGCUCAAGUACCUCCAAGCCAUCGUGAAGGAGACGUUCCGGCUCCAUCCUCCGGCGCCGUUCCUGCUGCCACACGUGGCGGAGACGACGACACAAGUCCAAGGAUACACAAUUCCCAAGGGCACACGCCUUCUGGUGAACGUGUGGGCCAUAGGGCACGACGGCAAGGUAUGGCCAGAGCCGGAGAAGUUUAUGCCGGAGAGGUUCCUGGAGAAGGAUGUGGACUUCAAGGGCCGAGACUUCGAGCUCCUGCCCUUUGGGUCCGGGAGGAGGAUGUGUCCCGGGACGCCGCUGGCCGUUCGCAUAGUUCAUCUCAUGCUCGCUUCUUUGCUGCAUCGCUUCCAGUGGAGGCUUCCCGUAGACGUGGAGAAGAAGGGGCUGGACAUGACUGAAAGGCUUGGGGUCAACCUGUCCAUGGCUACGCCCCUUGAGGCUAUAGCCACGCCAGUUUGA
rnacentral:rRNA from 1 species